rnacentral:lncRNA from 14 species
CCUGUGAGUUUUCAUACCAGGCCAACUUUGAAUUGUAUUUUGUUUCUUUGCCCAUGGAGCAUAAUCAGAAACCUGGGGAGAUGAUAUAAUGAAAAGCACAAAAUACCUCACUGAACAACGAGGAGUAAAUAAAGCAGGCUGAAUGUCAGGCAGCUGAGAAGAGACAUGAGCUGCAGAAGAAAGGAAAAGAAAAAGAAGAAUUCAGAAACUCUUCUUCUGAGCUCUUACUUGAUCAUCUUUUUUUUCUAAAUCAGGAAAUGGAAAUUUUGAUUUCCCAUCGUAACUUAGCCAGAAAAAUCAAGAGCUAAAAAAACACUCUGUUUUAAUGACCGCAAACAAACACAAGCAUAGUCCAUAUUGCAGGACCAAAUAGAAGAGGCUGAUUACGAGGAUACUUCUGCUAUACCUUCAGUUAUAGCAAAGGGAAUACCAAAAGCUGCUGGAAAAAAUAAAUUGCUUUUUUUGCAUCA